rnacentral:rRNA from 1 species
GGGAUUGCCCUAGUAACGGCGAGUGAAGCGGCAACAGCUCAAAUUUGAAAUCUGGCCCUAGGCCCGAGUUGUAAUUUGCAGAGGAUGCUUUUGGCGAAGUGCUUACCGAGUCCCCUGGAAUGGGGCGCCACAGAGGGUGAGAGCCCCGUAUGGUUUGCCACUGAACCUUUGUAAAGCUCCUUCGACGAGUCGAGUAGUUUGGGAAUGCUGCUCUAAAUGGGAGGUAAAUUUCUUCUAAAGCUAAAUACCGGCCAGAGACCGAUAGCGCACAAGUAGAGUGAUCGAAAGAUGAAAAGCACUUUGAAAAGAGGGUUAAAUAGCACGUGAAAUUGUUGAAAGGGAAGCGCUCGUGACCAGACUUGCGCCGGGCGGAUCAUCCAGCGUUCUCGCUGGUGCACUCCGCCCGGCUCAGGCCAGCAUCGGUUUUCGCCGGGGGACAAAGGCUUCGGGAACGUAGCUCCCUUCGGGGAGUGUUAUAGCCCGUUGCGUAAUACCCCGGCGGGGACCGAGGACCGCGCUUCGGCAAGGAUGCUGGCGUAAUGGUCAUCAGCGACCCGUCUUGAAACACGGACCGAGGAGUCAAGCAUUAGUGCGAGUGUUUGGGUGUAAAACCCGCACGCGUAAUGAAAGUGAACGUAGGUGAGAGCUUCGGCGCAUCAUCGACCGAUCCUGAUGUUUUCGGAUGGAUUUGAGUAGGAGCAUUAACGCUUGGACCCGAAAGAUGGUGAACUAUACUUGAAUAGGGUGAAGCCAGAGGAAACUCUGGUGGAGGCUCGCAGCGGUUCUGACGUGCAAAUCGAUCGUCAAAUUUG